UAUAUUUUUUUAUUAUGUUGUCAUGUUUUUAUUGUGUUUGUUUAGUUGUUUAACCCAGCUGCAGUUUGUGAUUAUCGUUACCUCAUUUUCGACUGUGUGUAGUCCAGAUGUGUUCCUCAGUGAUGUGAAGCUGCUGACCAGUCGAUGGUGAUGAGGGAGUGCUCACUGUCCCUCUCCUGAAAUCCACCCGCAGCUCCGUGGUCUUCUCGAUGUUUAGAGAGAGGGAGAACAGCAGAGGACUGAGAACACAGCCCUGUGGGGCUCCAGUGUUGAGGGUCAGCGGGGAGGAGAUGUUGCAGCCAGCUCUGACCACCUUCUGUCUGUCAGGAAGUCCAGGAUCCAGCUCCACAGAGAACUGUUCAGACCCAGAGCCCAGAGUUUCACCACAAGCUUAGACGACUCUAUGGUAUUAGUCACUGUGCUGUACUCAAACAACAUUCUCUCAUGUUCCUCUUGUCGAGAUGGAGCGCUCUGUGUGGGAGGAGGAGCGGCAGUGAUGAAGCGGUGUUUGUAGCAGGGAGUGUGUAGAAGGGUGUUUGUUGAAGGGUGUUUGCGAUCCUUGUAGUCUGUGAUGUUGUAGAGUCCUUGCCACAAGCAGUUGGAAGUGGUGAACUGUGCUUCAAAUUGACUUAAAAAUAAAAUUGCUUGUUUUUAAUGCU